AGAAGAGAGCCAGGGGCAUGGAGAGUUCAGGCCUCCAGCAGAGGGAGUGCAGAUAUGGGGAAAGCUGACCCCUGGAGUCAGCAGGCCCAGCCCUAGGAGGGGGCAGUCCCACAGCAGGCUCACACCCUGCCCUUCAGAGUUGCAGCAGCUAAUGCUGAUGCCAGGACCUUGUCCUGCCAGGAAGCCUCUGAUUAGGGCUGUGAACCAACUUCCUUUUCACAUCUGCAAGGACACUUGGAGGCAACUGCCCAAGGCCACUCUGAGGAGGGUUGAAUGUUCUUUAUUAAAAGGACUGAGGAUCAUGUGUGUUGGUGGGCCUUGGACUCUGCUCUAAGACACAUGGAGGCAACCACUCAAGGCCACUCUGAGAAGGGUUGAACGUGCUUUAAAUUAAAAGGACUGAGGAUCAUGUGUGUUGGUGUGUCUUGGACUCUGCUCUAAGACUCAUGGAGGCAACCACUCAAGGCCACUCUGAGAAGGGUUGAACGUGCUUUAAAUUAAAAGGACUGAGGAUCAUGUGUGUUGGUGUGUCCUGGACUCUGCUCUAAGGCCCUGUGGCUGCCUGGUGCCCUGGGAAUGGUCCGGUCAUGGGCCUCAGCCCAGGAUGAGCAGCCAACAAUGCAAUCCCACGAAGAGUGUGCGGAAGGGAGAGGUUACUUCUCAAGAUGGAGCUGCCAAAUAGGGACACUUUGGAGAGUCUGGCCUGAGAACUUUUAGUUUCAAGAAUGUAUUGCUUUGGAAAAGACAGAAUAAAAGUCCAAGCACUGCCACUUA
rnacentral:lncRNA from 1 species